rnacentral:ncRNA from 2 species
UGGGAGAGCGCGGGAAAGCGGCGACUUUGCCUCUUUCCGCCGCCGAAGGCGCAAUCCACCCGGAAACGCUCAGGCAAAAGGACCGUUCGUGCAAG